UUUGCUGGGUGCUUAUAGCACUUCUUAUCAUUACUACACCCUAGAACUCAGAUGAGCAUUCAUUUCUCAAUCAUUUGGGUUCAACACAGAGAGAAGAGAUGGCGGCACUAGUGGUAUGAGAGGAAGAGAAAUCGAGAGAAUUCAAGGACAGAUUGAGGAGAUGAAGAACUGAAUUUGAUGAUGUUCAAUGAUGGAGAACCAAAAGGGGUUUGUUGUUAAUUACAGAUCCAGUGAAGAACACAAAGAAAGGGGAUCUGAAGCAGAGUUAGGGUUUCUAAAGCUCAAAUUAAUGAGAUGGAAUUGAGAAUGGGUUUGAAUCUGCGAUUCAGAUGAAGCUGAGCAGUUAAUUAGGAGAAUGGUGAUUUGGGUUAGCUCCAAAGAUGAAUUUACAGAAGAAGGAAGUUAGGGUAUUGUUCUGUUGAAAUUCAGGGGAAAUUGAAGAAAAUCUGGUGAGAUUGUUGUUGAGUUUUUGAACUGAAUCAAAUCGAGUAGUUGAUAAUAAGGGUUCGUGGUUGUGGUGAUGAAUUGGUGGAUGGGUUCGAUUUGCAAGUCUGAGACAAGGAAGAACCUGGUGAUACACUGAAAUUGGUUGAGUAGAUGAGUCAUAUGAUGUGCAAAAGGAACUGACGAUGAGCUGCAGUGGUUGAGCUAAGAAGAAUGGAUGCGUUUGGAACUGAUUUACAGAUGCUCAUGGUGGAGGUUUGAGGAAUUGGUAAUGCAGAUUGAGACCACGAACAACAGGAUACAGGGAAUGACUGAAUAGAACGGUAGUUGAGUUAAUGGUGCAGGAAUGGCUAAAAUGAAGAUUGCUUUUGCAAGUGAUCAGAAUUGAGCUGCAAUGAACUUGCUGGUGAUUGCAGCUCACAGUGAUUGAAGUGAUGAAGCUUUGUUGGUGGUUUAGCUGCUUGCAGCUGAGAUAGGUUAUGUGCAGAUGGUGUUUGAGUUUUGGAUGGUUGGUUUAAGCUGAACUGGAGACGAAUUUGUUGCUCAAGUUGUUGCAGCUGAGAAAAAUGAAUCUGAGAGUUCAAGAAGUGAUGUUCAUGGUAUGGACUAGAUUGUUCAGGUGCAGGUCUGAAUGAUUGCAGGUUGAGUUAAUGUUGCAGUUCUGCUGGUACUGGAAGGAAGUUCAAGGAGGUGGUGAUUCUGGUGUUUUGAAUAAGAGAUGAAUGUAUGCUGCUGGAGAGUUAGGUUGUGGUGUUGCAGUGAUGGUUGAGCUGAGAUUGCAUGCAAGAAUGAAAUAGGAGGAUGUGAACCUAUACUGCAAUGGAUUGAUGGUCCCAGAGAAUCAAGACAUAAGCUGUGAAGUGUGCAACUGAGAAGACAUGGCAGUGGUAGUAUGACUGAGAUCGUGAUCUUCAGAUGAAGAAAUUGGUAAGAUGGGUCUGGAGGUAAUGGUAGCAGUGGCAGUGAAGUUACAGGGAUUGGUGUUGCUAAUGGGAGUGAUUGUGUACAGCAUGAAGAGAUAUUUGGACAGAAUGGAACUGUGGUAUGCACAUCCAUGAUGGAUGGAUUGAAGCGUGAUGAUGGUGCAACACAAUCUCAAGACAAUGCAAAUGGCUCAGGCCUGGGCCAAGACCAUUCAGCCCAGUUAGCCGAGUCAGUAGCUGACUCUGACAUUGACUCGGUCUGACUUUCUGAGUUAGUCCAGUUGAACCGAGUCGACUCAGUUGACUUGACUGAGUUGAGUUUUGACCGGUGACCGGGUAGAUUUUGCCGGUUACCUGAGUUGUUUUCCGAUCACUUUGCCGGCCAAUUUCCGACGCUGGUACCAGCUUUUCGCCGACAUGUUUUUGGCAGAAUUUCUACAUGGGUUUUUCUCACAUAUGGGCUUGAUGAAUUUUUAUUUAAUGUACUUUGAAGACUAGACCUAAUUUCGGGAAGCAAAGGAUUAUAAAAGAAAGACUUCUACAACUUGGAUAUCACGUAUUAUUUUCUACUUGGAGCUUUGGAGAGAACUUCUUCUAGGGUUUACUUUCGUUUGUUUUCAUCUUCUUUAUUUUAUUGAUUAUGAUUAUGAUGAACUCCAUUAUUAUGAGUAACUAAAUACUAUUAUUGGUUA